AUUGAACGCUGGCGGCAGGCCUAACACAUGCAAGUCGAGCGGAUGAAGGGAGCUUGCUCCUGGAUUCAGCGGCGGACGGGUGAGUAAUGCCUAGGAAUCUGCCUGGUAGUGGGGGAUAACGUCCGGAAACGGGCGCUAAUACCGCAUACGUCCUGAGGGAGAAAGUGGGGGAUCUUCGGACCUCACGCUAUCAGAUGAGCCUAGGUCGGAUUAGCUAGUUGGUGGGGUAAAGGCCUACCAAGGCGACGAUCCGUAACUGGUCUGAGAGGAUGAUCAGUCGCACUGGAACUGAGACACGGUCCAGACUCCUACGGGAGGCAGCAGUGGGGAAUAUUGGACAAUGGGCGAAAGCCUGAUCCAGCCAUGCCGCGUGUGUGAAGAAGGUCUUCGGACUGUAAAGCACUUUAAGUUGGGAGGAAGGGCAGUAAGUUAAUACCUUGCUGUUUUGACGUUACCAACAGAAUAAGCACCGGCUAACUUCGUG
rnacentral:rRNA from 1 species